UACUAGAGUAGCACUCGCAUAUCAAUAAGCGGAGGGAAAGAAACUAACAAGGAUUCCCCUAGUAACGGCGAGUGAAGCGGGAAGAGCUCAAAUUUGAAAUCUUAAAGGGUUUCCCUUUACGAAUUGUAGUUUAAAGAAGUGUUUUCUGUUGAGGUUUUGGUAAAAGUUCUUUGGAAUAGGACAUCAUAGAGGGUGAGAAUCCCGUAUUUGACCUUUACUUUCAACUUUGUGAUACAGCUUUCAAAGAGUCGGGAUUGUUUGGGAAUGCAGGUCCAAAAUGGGUGGUAAAUUUCAUCUAAAGCUAAAUAUUGGCGAGAGACCGAUAGCGAACAAGUACCGUGAGGGAAAGAUGAAAAGAACUUUGAAAAGAGAGUUAAACAGUACGUGAAAUUGUCAAAAGGGAAGCGUUUGACACCAGUGUUGUUUUUCUGAAAAUCAAGUUAAAGAACUGUUUAUGCUAAGUUGUUUAGACUUUAUCAGCUAACUGUUUAGUUUUGAGCUUUUCUUUAAUGCACUUUUCAGUUAACAAGUCAACAUCAAUUUCUUUUGCUGUAAAAAAGCUUGAGGAAGGUGGCUUGAGAUUCGUCUUAAGUGUUUAUAGCCUCUUGCCUAUGCAGUCGGAGAGAUUGAGGUCUGCAGCGUAGAUCCUUCGGGGCUAAAUGCAUUUGUGCUAAGUUAUAGCAUUUUAUAGACAACUUGUUGACUAUGAUUUGUCUUGUAGCUUACUCGCUUAUGUUAUUUUACCUACGCUUAGGAUGUUGAGCGCAUGUCUCUCUCU
rnacentral:rRNA from 1 species